rnacentral:lncRNA from 1 species
GGCACUCAGGACUACACUCUGCACCUUAGCGGUUAUUUGUCAAAUUUUACAUUUUUUCUUCAUCUGUCAUCUACAUCAACAACACUACUCAAACCAACACGCUCCUUUAGCUCGCCACCCUCCCCUAGAGCCGCACACUGCAAAGUCCGGGCAGAGACGAGGCAGAGACGUGUCAGAGGCAGCGAUGCGGCACUACGCGAAGCAGAGUGUGAAUGAGAGAAUGUAAAGAGAACAACAAAAGCUGCGGGACAGGG